CUCGCUGCUUCUCCGUUUUUGUCCUUGUCUUUAUGCCAAGGACAAACGUUUUCCAAAUGUUGUUUUAAUUUUGUAGGUCUCUUAGUUAGAACCAUUCGUUAAAACUUUAACGCAAAUGACACAUUGAGAUGUCUCUGCUCAACAAAGCUUUCAUUGUGUUUGACAGCCAGCCCCGAGGUUUGAAUAUCACCGGCCACUAACCGGUCGUGUUAUGGUUGAUGGAAAGGACGGAUGUAUUAGGUGACCAAAAAAAAGAAAUCAAGGUGGAAUUUAUAUAAUAAUUAAUAUUUGUGUAUUGGGAUGAAAAGAAAACUUAAAUGACUACAACAGUGGUGAAAAGGAUGGGUGGGGGGGGGUUGCUUAUUGCUGAAAAAUACAGGUAAUUCACUUAUAACCUUAGGGGGUACAAAUUAAAUGAGCGGUACGCUGACCGUGAACCUGGU